GUUAACACCGGCGUGGCAUCGAUCAUUGUGCGAUACAAUUAGACGUCGCCGAUGAUUACGGCCCCUAAUGACUGCUCGCAUCCGCCACGAGCGUUAAACGGGAUGCACGCGAUGUGUCCAGACAUUGUUCGGAUGGCUGGGAGCGAUUCCAGGGGGUGACAAGUCUCGAACCAACGUCGAAUAGUUUCGCAGUUGGAUAAUGAACGCGACGAAGCCGGAUGUUGGUUCGUUGUUUCUCGAAGAUUUAUCGCGCCUGACGGGCUUAAUUAUUUUGCCGGUCGAUCAGAUUGUUCGCCACUCGUCGUACAAUCGUUGAACACGAGGCACACGAAUCGCACGCGGGGAUGGAUUAAAAUUUGCGAUGAAGGACCAACUUUGUUGAUGAAGUUUUAAUACCGCGAUGAGAUAUAUAAUCGAGCAAAAGUUGGAACCAUUCAUUAAUAUUAAUUAUAUAGGAUUGAAAAGUUGGGGAAAAAUGGAGGAUAUGAAAUUUCUAUGUUAAUUGUAAUUAGAAAAAUUUAUCGGCGAAUUAAUUGAAUAAGUAGACUCGUGAUUGUGAAGAAGAUAAAAGAUUAAUGAAGCGAAGAGUAAUUAUUAGGUCUUGAAGAAUGAUUAUUAUGUUAGCUUGAAAAGUUGCGAGUUAUUUAAGUUUUAAUAAAAGACUGAAAAUAAAUCUGAAGUAUUAUUAGAAAUGUGGGAACUGCUUUAAAACUUUAUGUACGUGUACACAAUACGUAAAGCUGAGAAAUUUGAGAAACUUCUCCAGUAAUUGCGUCCCCAGUAAUAUACGUAUAUAUAUCUCUAAUUCCACCUACGCGAUAUUAAGGUAGCUUUACCCUGAUGUAAAUCAUAAGCUAGCGGAGCGUGUUUCACAAGACUUACGAAGUCAAACAUUCCAACAUUAUCUUCACACCUCUCACAAACUCCUUUCUCCAGGUAACAACAUCACUUACACCUUCCACAUUCGUGUUAUAUUCGUAUAAAAUCUUUAUCAUUGUUACAUUUAUCCAACAAAAUUCCUUUAUUAUUCUGAAAUAAUAAAUUCGAAGCAUAAAUUUUUUUCAAAAAUAGCUGAACAAUUUUGAUGUUUCCAGAUGUUUCAUAGCGUGUAUCGAUUGGAAUUUUAAAAACGUUUUCUGCAAAUAAACACGCAGUAACAUUACAGGAGAAUGUGCUAAGGAAACAAUUUCACGAAAUUUGUCACAGUCACGAAUCUUGGAUAUUCUGAAAGACAAAAAGUGUCAAGAAUAUUCUAAAAUAUAUCUUAACUAACGAAACUAUUUACGUAUCCACGUAUAAUAGCAAGAUUUAAACCUCGUCGUCGUCUUCGUUGAAGAAUCCAGAUUCUUGGAAAUCGAACUCAAAAUAAAACGAAUUAUACGCGAUAGAAAAAUUCGAAAUAAGCACGACGAACAUGUUUUCGCGUUUAACACAUUGUUUUUAAUUUUAAAUUAUAUUGCCUUCGAAAGAAUAGUAAACUUCCUCCAUGAUAAAAACGUCGACCCGUAACGGAAUAUGCGUAUUAAAGAAAAUUUUCUGUCUUGUCAGAAUGGUAGCAGCAUUUGUCCAAUCGAAAGAGGCAAUUCCGAGAGAGAAACGAAAUUACUCAACGGGACGAUUCGGAAGCUCGACGGCUCGGGAUAAAUAGAAUAUUUCUUUCUUCACGAGCUACUUCCAGGCAGCUCUAUAAAUCCAACGCGAUGGACGGGUGCAACGCGCUGUUGCAUUAUGCCGACGUCUCGCGCGCAAUAAAACGUCCCUCUCCUGAACAGGGAGAUGGAACGUGGAACGAUUUCGCGAAUAUAAAUUACGGUUGGAACGUUGACACCAAGGCUGGUAAUACUGGCCUGUUAAAAAGGGAACGAUCCUGCUUCUUUUGUGAGUUGAUGUUUGCACAAACGUGGGCGUAGCCUGGCCUCUAUGAUGCGGAGAAUUAAUAUUGGAAUGAUGGCAUUCAUAAAUUUCGAUAGAUAUGUUAUUUUUUUUGAAACGAUAUCCAUUUGCAUGUAAUGAUUGUAAUUAAAGUGAUGAGCAUGAAAAUAAGUGUAAUUGUAUUUCUAUUUCAAUGAAAAACGUUAUCGUUUAAUUACAAUAAACGUUGUUAUUAAAAUCAGAAAUAAUUUUAAAAUACAGAAAGCAAGGAGAAAUGGGUGAAAUUGCAUCGAAUGAAUUAACCGGAAUAUAUCAAUUUUCAGAUCACAAUCUGAAGGAUUUAAGUCUCAAAGGAUAAGUCAAGUGUUAAAUUGGAUCGAACGUCGAACCUGCUUACGUGUCUACUAUUACAUAUUAAAUCAAAGGAUCGUACAGAAACAUCAAACGCGACGCGCGAAUAAUCAAGGGGAUAAAUAAGACAUCUCUCUUUCCUGUUUAAUAAAAUUAUAAUCGAUCUUCGCGGCGGGUUAUGAAAUUCUAAGUUGACAUGUUACAACGAGGAUGAUGCAAGUACACGGUAGGGAAAAUUCCACAUGGAAAUUCUAAAAUUACCCGACAACGUUGCUGAUGAUUAAUGCGACGUGGGGAUCAUCACGGGAACAACGAUACAAAGAACGGCGAAAUUUUAUUUUAAAAUGCACGCGAGAAAAAAACGUAAAAUAUCCUUUCUCAAGACUCAAGUGAAAGGGAGGAGGAAGAAGAGAAGAGAAGGAAUUUUUUAAAAAAAAUAUCAGCGUGAAAUCAUCGUAUCGCAGAUCAAAUCGUUCAUAAGCGAUUAAUAAGAAAAGAAAAAAAGAUUGUUGAUCAAUUCUGGAUAUCGAAUUGCAUCACUUAAGUCCUAACUCCUUGUAAAUGAAACACGGAUAAAGAAGGGAAGAAUUAUUCUAUCUCUCUAUUCCUACGCCUCGCGCUUUUCACCCAAGAGGAUAUCUCAGUGUUACGAAACGGCGCAACAAGAAUCCUCUCGUUAAGUUGACCUAUUCAAGAGGCUUUAAACAUCAUUACAGAGUUCUUCUGCAUCGCUCGGCCACAAAAAUAAAGAGAGAACAAAAGGGAAGGUCUCCUGCUGGUGGAAAAGUUUCGACCAAUGGAAAAACUUUCCCCCAACUUUCCUCCAAGUUGACAAUCACUAGUAAUCCGAUCCGUUUCGUGUUCCAGAGGUUGAACAUUGUACCGUGCAGGUAUGAUACCGUGUAUCGAAUAACUCUUCUUUGAAAAUGCCUCGAGAUAGAUAGAAAACUUAGAAUGCAUAGUGCAUCAAUGUCGUACGUUUCCAUCGUGUACGAUACUCUAGUGAGAGAAGUUCGUGUUUUCGUUUCUUUUUUAAGAGAAAAGUAGCUGAGAGAUUCAUAACGAAAAGCGCUGUUACUAAUUUUCAAGAAGGAGGAGAAAAAAUAAUUAAUACAAUCUUCAAUUUUAUUUUCAAUAAACUUGAAUUUUUCUUCAAAAGAAAUUUCAUUGUAAUUGUACUUAUAAAUCGUUCCAUAAUUGGUACAGGUAUUACCAUUGAUUAUUGCAAAUAUAUUAUACAAGAUUUAUGUUUAAUCAAAUUGUGAUAUAAUGGAUAAAAUGAUUGAAAUUUAACAAGAAUUGUUACGAAGAUUUCUAUUAUUCAAUGCAAUAUGAAAUGAAUUACUUAAAUAUUGCAAUUCUUUGAAAAUUAAAGAAUAAAAAAAAUGAAAGAAAGGAAUAAAAAAUGGUAUAAUUAAGAAAGAAAGCGACAAAAACAAUUUUAAUUUCAAUCGUAUAUCUCGAGAUCGGACCAAGAUUUUUAACCAUCGAUAUUUCCAGUUUACUCAUCACGAUUAUAUCGCAUCUGGGUAUAAAACUUCCGAUAGAGAUGCAGUAUUAAUAAUUCCCCAAAGAAUUCUAAACAAUAAUUCCAUUCUUAGCGCUUGUAUUAAUCGGCCCUCGCCUUAUGCAUAAAGAUUGUGUUGUCGAAGGCGGUUGUUGGCCUCGUAACUAUGCAAAAUAAUGCGGAAUUUUUAAUUUUCUCUUGAAAUUGCGGCCGCCUGACGAGCUAUUUUUCGAACCGAGAUACCGAGGGAACAAAGUAGGAAAAACUUCGAUCCCACGUUUCACGUUCACAUCGAUUUUUCGCAAUUCAACGUGCCAUCUCGCCCUGCUCGUUUGCAUAUUAAAUUUUUCAAUAAUUCCCACGGGAAACUGGCCUAACUAUCUAUUGGUCGAGCAGUUAACGAAUCUACGAUAAUUCUAUCGUAACGGUGACUUCGUUGGAAUAAUCGUUGAAAAUUUCUAUAAAAAUGCGGAUGAGACUAAUGCAAAUCUUGAUUGCUGUACAACUAUAAAGGAAAACGAUAUCUGAUGAAGAAUCCUUUAAAAGUUGAUGUAAAAUUCUACGAACAUUUGAAAGAACUUUCUUUAAUUAAUAUAAUGUUAAUUAAUCAAAAUAUCAAAUCUUUAUAUUUUUAUUCAGAUAUAUCUCAAAAAUUCCAUCGAAAAUUUAAUGUUUAAUUUCGAUUUCGAUUUAAAUUUCAAUUGAUGUAAAAGUUUGAAAUUUGAAAAUUGAUCAAGUUAGACAUCGAUGAAUUUACAAAAUGGGGAUCAAUCAAGUGAAAAAAAAAAGAAGAUAAAAGAAAUGUAAUUACGCAAUUGAAAAAACCGCAGUAGCAACAAGUUGAAACAUUUUGCUAAGAGGAAAAUGACAUAAAUAUAUAUCCGCGAUAAAUGUUCAAUACCGCAUAUUAAUGGACGAAGAAAAUGAAAGACUCUGGGUGGGGAAAGGCUAUUUAUAAGGCUAUUUAUAAGACUUCAAGAGAAACAAGAGAAAACGGGGAUUAUUCAAGACAAUUUCAUUGACUAGACUGCCUUCACCAAGGGUCAAUAAAACCUGACUCAGCUUAACGAAUAAGACUAGUGGCUAUAGAGCAGGUAAAAAUAGAAUUACUCCAACUGCUUUAUCGAAAAUUCCGUGGAAAAUAAUACGUCGUAAUGACGACAUCGCUGACGACAAGCGAGAAAAAUUUUCUGGAAAUCAAUCUAUCUAGAUCCUAGGUAGAAAGAAAUAUCGAGCAGUUGAAUUUUAAUGAAAAUCCAACAUCUAUAAUUUAGAAGACACAAUUCGAUUUAAUUAAUGAUGGAAUGAAUUUUUUUCUAUUAGAAGAAAUUCCAAAAACCAGUUUUUGAUCGUACAUUUUAGCGUAGUGACAAAAAUUAUAAAUUGAAGUUAUGUAAUCAUCCUCCUAAUUAAAACUUGAAGAAUAAAACAAAUUUAUAAGAUAAUAAGAAAUUUGUAGUGAAGAUUUGCAAAGGACAAAAAUUAUAAUUUUCUUUCGUCUCGUAUCUAUCCGUAAUGUUUUAAUUUUAAUUAUUCAUAAUUAUUCAUACAAAUAUCUAUCAAAUAAAAUAAAAGAUACGUGCAAAUAGUCAUCACUAGUAAGUUUUAAAUUUAAAAUUGCAUAUCUGUAUAUAUCUUUAAAGAUUAAAUGGAUUUUAAUUCAAAUAAGCGACAACUCACAAUUGAAGUGAAAUCUUGUGGCAAAUCUUGAACAUUGUUAAAACUUGUCGGGUUUUAUAGUUGCAAUGGAGAAGCGAAAAUCGUGGCACGCGAACCCAGUCAUCUAAUUGCCAAAUGCACGCGAACUGGUUUAGCUUUCGCAAACGAUUCGCCGAAACUAUUUCGUCUAUUUUAUUCCGAUCUCAACUUUUCACAAUAAUUAACGCGUAUUAAUUAUUCAACAACAAUUUUCAAAUUUGACUUACAAUGCACUUGACGUUUGGCUCGUUCAUUUAGCGAAUACAAAUUAAUUAUUAAACUAGCGAGAAAAUUAUAUUGGUUUUUUAAAAUUUCGAAUGAUUUAUGUGACAUUGUUUGUGACGAAUUCAUUUCACGAAGAUAGAAUUCUAUUCGAGUAUAGAAAGCAAAAAACAUGAGGCAGAGCAAUUUUCAAUUUUCAAUUUUUCGGAUAUUAUGGAUUUAAAAAAUUAUUUCUCAAAAAACAACUUCCUUUACUUUUAAAAUAAAUAUCACGUGUCGUACAUGUUAAUAAAUGAUUCGUUAAAUUUGAUUGAUCCGAUUUAAUAAAUUGUUAAUGUUGAAUUGAAGAUAUGAAGAAAAAUUUGAAAUUAUAAUUAUAAAAGAAAUUAUAAAAGAAUUGAAAGUGGAUAAAAAUGUGGGAUUGAUUGGAUAACCAGAAGUGGCGGUGAAAUUAUUCGCUCAGUUGCCUGGCGUCUGACCACAGCUCGGCCAUUCCACUGCGGCCGAGCUAAAACUCCCGACGCUAUAUUUAUACAAGAAGUUUGAAAAUACAGCUCGAUUACAAUGUAAAUACUCAUUGCAAUAAAACAACAAUGGAUUCUCGGGCCAACCUCCCGACAAAUAUUCGGUUUAAAUCCACGAAUCCAGCAAAAAUAUUUAUUCUUCUGAAUGAAUUCAGAACUUUUUCAUAUCAGACAUUUCUUCCGGGAUUUACAAACGUACAAAGGCUCGACAAAUUUAGUUAUUCUUCCGUAAAACAUCUACUUUCAUCUCUUGUGUUUUUUUUUUUCUCUUCAAUUAUAUCCACUUAUCAUAUCCAAUUAUACAUGAUAAGAAUAUAUCGCGAUAAACUAAUUCCUACUCUGCGAUGUUAAAUACAAUAGUGAUUAAAAUAUCGUAUCAUAUUCUCAUUUGAACGAAAGAAGAAAAGAAAAUACAAACGAUCGAUUAAUCAUCGCGUUUCAUGCCACAAAGAAUACGCAAACGUAUACGUCUCCGUUUACGUCUCUACAAGGAUAACAAAACUAUAACUCCACCAUCUCCAUGACAGUAAGUAAUUAUACAAACUUUGAUACUUUGAUACGAUUUCACCGUGGACAGUAUCUUUUCUGAGGCAAAAUUCAUGGGAAAAAGCCGCGCUUGUCAUCCGAGCGGAUUGGAAAGUUUAUUCAUCGCCCUGCCAAGUUAUCUCCAACAACUUUUAAUUGGACUGUACACACGACUUUGCGUAAAGUAGAUUCGCAGCGAUGCACGCACGGGGCAAAAUGCAUCGGAGUUUGUAAUGGGGCGGAAGCUUAAGCGGGAGCUUAAGCGGUGGUUACGAACUAUCUAAUUUGUCGAUAUAACUCGAUAAUUUCGAGCCUGCUGCAAUUUCCUUCCCCGUCGUUUACACUGCAAGACAACACGAUCGUUGGAGGGGAUAUCUUCGGGGAAUUAUUUGAUCGAAAUUGAAAAUGAUAAAGAAGAGAGAGAGAAUAAGUUGAAAAGAGACAAAGAUAUAUACAUAUAUGGACGCAUAUAUCCUUUAAAGACAAUUAAGAGUACGUUGUAUUAACAAAUAACAAGUGAUUGGCAAGAAGCUGAAAGAAUUACCCCGAUUAAUUUCUCUUCGAUUCUCCUGAUCUCUUCGCUCAUUUGCUGUGCAUCCACUCGAAACGCAUGGAAAUUGGAAACUCCGUUUCCUGCAUCUCCAUCGAACAAGCUCGAGAAUAAAUUAUUCUCGAGGGCAAGAUAGCAAACGGAAGAGGAACACGUGCAAACAUAUGGUUCGAGGCUUGAAUCUCGGAUUACAGAUUUUCCGCUCCGUGUUUACGAGUUGCGCGAACACAGGAAAUGAAGUAGUCCUAUAUACAGGGGCCAAGGUGGAUCAAGAUUUUGAAAGACAAGUGUAAGGAAAUUUAAUAUCCGAAACGGGAUAUCCUUGUUAUUAGUUGAAAUUUUACUGUAAAGUUUGCUAAUUGUGGCAAACAGCCUCGUGCAUAAGCGUGCAAUACUCGUCUCGAAGGUGUAUUUGCCACCUUGGUGGAUUCGUGUUUAACCAAAGUUUAGAUUAAUUGGUAACAAGAAACGCGCGCAACUUGAGCGUGCAAAGAUGGGAACGGAGGAAACGCGGUGUAAAGGAAAAGAAUAUAACUGCGCGGAUCCGUAACACGACAUGAACGUUUUGCAUCGGUUAUGGUUAUUACCGAACGGCAUUAUUACUUCCAUGCUAACUAGGCUAGUCAUUAAACCGAAGCAGUUAGCGGCAGAACCGGAAUUUCGAUGCGAGGAACAACCUUGUGUAUGCUCUUCUCUAUCCGAUGGAACGAACAUCUUAAUAUAACACAUGUGAGAUGUUAUCUAGAAAUUCGAAGAGAGAGAGAGAGAGAGAGAGAGAGAGCAAAAAAGGAUCUUACGCGAAAUUUAGGAUAAAUUGUAAAUUAAAUCUGUAGAUACUAUUCACAGAAGUAUGCCAAAGUUUGCUCUGUGCAAUCUUCGUGCAUUAAUAUUUCAUCCAUGAACUUGUUUGUUUAAAUUAGCUAAUGAAUAAAUUUUUGAAACGUAAUUUUUUUUUACACAAAGAAUAAAUAAUUUACACGUGCAAGUCUCAAAGUGCAUGCGAAGUUUAUAAAAAUUUACAUACAUUAAAGAAUGUCUGAAAAAUUUAAAUCUCAAGGAGAAGGAUCAAAGGAAGAUGUCCGCCUGCCAAUUAACUUAUUUCUUGAACAUUGUAGCUGCGAAAUAUUCCUCAAAUUCUAGUAGACGUAAAAGUUCGUGCAUGAAAUCCUCUUUAAAUUUCCAUUGUGUAAAUUUUAAUUAAAUCCAAUCUUCUUAUAAAGUCGUACAAGAUCGUUCCAACUUCUUUUCUUGUACAACGUGCUCUUGCGACGAAGUGUCGUCGAGGAUUACUGGCAAAAUAAAUAUAGCGAUAUUUCCUUCUUCGACUACAAAAAUUGUUCCUUAAUUUUUUUCGAAGCAUCCCCUGUAUCGAUUGUACCGUGCACAGAUUCGAGAGACGCUCGAAAUAUUUGUUAAUUCCGGAACGCACGUUUGUCCGAACGUGGACAUUUUUCGCAUGACGAAUUGUCGGCAGGAAUGUUGCAAACAAAUGGAAACGAACAAAGAGGGAUUGUUGGAGAGAUCGAACAGAGGCUCGGUUGACCAUGAUGGAGACACGGCUUGGCGUUACUUCAGCCGAGGAAUGCUCGCUAUU